rnacentral:rRNA from 1 species
GACGAACGCUGGCGGCGUGCUUAACACAUGCAAGUCGAACGGAAAGGCCCCCUUGUGGGGUACUCGAGUGGCGAACGGGUGAGUAACACGUGAGUAACCUACCCUUGACUUUGGGAUAACUUCAGGAAACUGGGGCUAAUACCGGCUAGGAGCUCCUGCUGCAUGGUGGGGGUUGGAAAGUUUCGGCGGUUGGGGAUGGACUCGCGGCUUAUCAGCUUGUUGGUGGGGUAGUGGCUCACCAAGGCUUUGACGGGUAGCCGGCCUGAGAGGGUGACCGGCCACAUUGGGACUGAGAUACGGCCCAGACUCCUACGGGAGGCAGCAGUGGGGAAUAUUGCACAAUGGGCGGAAGCCUGAUGCAGCAACGCCGCGUGCGGGAUGACGGCCUUCGGGUUGUAAACCGCUUUCGCCUGUGACGAAGCGUGAGUGACGGUAGUGGGUAAAGAAGCACCGGCUAACUACGUG